CUCCCUGUAGCUCAGUUGGUAGAGCAUGGUGUUUGCAACGCCAGGGUUGUGGGUUCGUUUCCCACGGGGGGC
rnacentral:tRNA from 1 species